GAUGAACGCUAGCGGGAGGCUUAACACAUGCAAGUCGAGGGGCAGCAUAGGGUAGCAAUACUCUGAUGGCGACCGGCAAACGGGUGAGUAACGCGUAUGCAACCUACCCUGUACAGGGGGAUAACCCGGAGAAAUUCGGACUAAUAUCCCGUAAUAAUAUCCGGAGGCAUCUUUGGAUAUUUAAAGUUCCGACGGUACGGGAUGGGCAUGCGUAACAUUAACUGGUUGGUAAGGUAACGGCUUACCAAGGCUAUGAUGUUUAGGGGUCCUGAGAGGGUGGUCCCCCACACUGGUACUGAGACACGGACCAGACUCCUACGGGAGGCAGCAGUGAGGAAUAUUGGUCAAUGGGCGCAAGCCUGAACCAGCCACCCGCGUGCAGGAAGACGGCCCUAUGGGUUGUAAACUGCUUUUCCAGGGAGAGAAACUUACGCACGUGUUGCGUGACUGACGGUACCCUGGGAAUAAGCAUCGGCUAACUCCGUG
rnacentral:rRNA from 1 species